rnacentral:tRNA from 1 species
CAAUUUAGAGCUUGUUUAAGCAUUUUAUUUACAUUAAAAAGAUAAUAAUAAUAUUUAUUUAAAUUGA